rnacentral:rRNA from 1 species
GAUGAACGCUGGCGGCGCGCCUAAUACAUGCAAGUCGAGCGAAUGGAUUAAGAGCUUGCUCUUAUGAAGUUAGCGGCGGACGGGUGAGUAACACGUGGGUAACCUGCCCAUAAGACUGGGAUAACUCCGGGAAACCGGGGCUAAUACCGGAUAACAUUUUGAACCGCAUGGUUCGAAAUUGAAAGGCGGCUUCGGCUGUCACUUAUGGAUGGACCCGGGUCGCAUUAGCUAGUUGGUGAGGUAACGGCUCACCAAGGCAACGAUGCGUAGCCGACGUGAGCGGGGGAUCGGCCACACUGGGACUGAGACACGGCCCAGACUCCUACGGGAGGCAGCAGGAGGGAAUCUUCCGGAAUGGACGAAAGUCUGACGGAGCAACGCCGCGUGAGUGAUGAAGGCUUGCGGGUCGUAAAACUCUGUUGUUAGGGAAGAACAAGUGCUAGUUGAAUAAGCUGGCACCUUGACGGUACCUAACCAGAAAGCCACGGCUAACUACGUGCCAGCCGCCGCGGUAA